rnacentral:lncRNA from 1 species
ACACUUGGAGACUGAAAGUUGGACUCGUAGGUACUGAGCGUCUUGUUGUGGAGACCAGAUGCAAUGCCUGGGCCUCCUGCUCCAGCUCCCAUCCAGCCCUGGGUCAAAGCCUGCAGGCGAAGGACAGGACAGCAGAGUGAGCUCCAGGAUGUGGAGGAAGGAAGAUGAGGUGUGGUGGGGAAAGGGUAAGUGGGUGUGGAGGGUAGAAAAGUGUCCCCGAAAAGAUAGCUCCAAGUCCUUACCCCGGUCCUUGCAAAUGUGACCUUAUUUGGAAAUGAGAUUUUUGCAGAUAUGAUCUAGUUAAAGGUCUCAAGAUGAGAUCAUCCUGGAUUUAGGGUGGGACCUAAGUCCAUUGACUAGUAGAUAUUUUUGCAAGAGAAAGGAGAAGAUUUGAGACACAGAGAGACACAGAGGGAAGAAAGCCGUGUGAACUUGGACUCAGAGAUGGGAGUGAUGCUGUCACAGCUAAGAAAUGCCAGGAAGCACCACAAGUUGGAAGAGGCAAGGGAGGGAUCCCCCCCAGAACCUUCAGAGAGAUCGUGGCCCUGCCAACACAUUGAUUUUGGACUUUUGGUCUCCAAAACUGUGAGAGAGGAAGUUUCUCUUGUUUGUUUUUUGUUGUUGGUGGUGGUGGUUUUUUGUUUUUUGUUUUAGAUGGAGUCUCGCUCUGUCGCCCAGGCUGGAGUGCAGUGGUGCGAUCUCGGCUCACCGCAAGCUCCGCCUCCCGGGUUCACCAUUCUCCUGCCUCAGCCUUCCAUGGAGCUGGGACUACAGGUGCCCGCCAACACACUCGGCUUUUUUUUUUUUUUUUUUUUUUUUUGUAUUUUUAGUAGAGACGUGGUUUCACCAUGUUAGUUCUCUUGUUUUAAGCUGCCACAUUUGUGGUACUUUUGUUAUGGCAGCCCUAAGGAGCUAAUUCACAGGAGAGAUGGGGAAGGGAAGAGGCAAGAAGAUAGAAAGAUGAGGAGGUGGGGACAGGGACAGCCAUGCAGGCUGAGGCAGCAGGGGUGGAACAGCUCCCCUCCCUGUCAUAGUCGCUUCAUAACAAAAUAUCCUGGACUGGUGGCUUAAACAACAGAAAUUAAUUUUCUCAGAGUUCUGGAGGCUGGAAGUGAAAGAUGAGGGUGCCAGCAUGGUCAGUUUCUGGUGAGGGCUCUCUUUCUGACUGGUAAACGGCUGCCUUCUGGCUGUGUCCUCGUAGGAGAACAGAAGGCAAAGGAAAGCUCUCUAGCUUCUCUUCCACCACGAGCUUCAAAUCUAAACCUGAUUAUCUCCCAAACACCAUCACUUUGGGGGUUAGGGUGUCAACAUAUGAGUUUAGGGAGGAUGCAAUUCAGUUGAUAGCAGGCCUUCAUGCAUGGGUGUCCCAGCAUAGGUCUGGCAGUUUAGAGGCCAGAACUACACGGAAUCUUGCUAUGCAAAAUGGGCAAAAACACCAUUGAUUGAAGGAUAAUUUAACCCGGAGCAGAGAAGUUACAUUGAGAAUCGAAAAAUGACACCCUUGCCUUGGGGUUAACGAGGCUGAAAAUAAAGACUAAACCAGCAGUAGUCUGGAUGAAGGUGAAGGCAGAAAUAAUUCCCUGACUGGUGUCCCUUCCGUUUCGGGAUGAAUUGUCCUCCAGCUGCUCCUGAUUCCUGCGUUAAAGUCCUGGUGUGAUGGCUCACAUCUGUCAUCCCUGCACUUUGAGAGGUGAGAGGAUUGCUUGAGGCCAGGGGUUCAAGACCAGCCUGGGCAACACAGUGAGACCCCAUGUCCACAAUAAAAGAAAUUAGCCAGGCAUGGUGGUGGAUGCCUGUAGUCCCAGCUACUCAGGAGGCUGAGGCAGGAGGAUUGCUCGAGCCCAGGAGUUGGAGGCUACAAUGAGCUGUGAUUGUGCCACCGCAUUCCAGGCUGGGUGACAGAGUGAGACUCUGUCUCAAAACAAAAACAAAAACAAAGACAAAAACAAAUCCUAACCCUUUAGUACUUCAGAAUAAGACUGUAUUUGGAGAUAAGGCCUUUAAAGAGGCAAUUAUGUUAAUGAGGUCAUUAGGGUGGGUCCUGAUCCAAUAUGAUGGAUGUCCUUGUAAGAAAAGGGAACUAGGACGCAGACAUGUGCAGAGGAAAGACCAUGCAAAGACACAGGGAGAAGACGGCCCUCUGCCAGUCAAGGAGACAGGCAUCAGAAAAAAAUCAAUCCUGCCAACACCUUGAUCUCGGCAAAGCUCCAGGCAUGUGAGAAAAUAAGUUCUGCGGCAGCCACCCAGGCUGUGGUAGUUUGUUAUGGCAACCAUCACCCACUAAGACACCGUCUCCAAGACCCUCCUCUAUAGACAGACACCUGAUGCCCAGGCCACCCCUCAGAUGCCAGGGGAAGCUGGCUGGGAAGGGCAUGGGCUUUGGAGCCACCAGCUACACCCUGGAAUCUCUGUUCAUGGCCUUCUAACUGUGGGACCUUGAGCAAGUUACUCCAUCUCUUUAGUCUUGGAGAUCCAUAAAGCUGGAGGUAAUGAACUCUCCCCAGAGCUGUGCAAAUUAAAUGAACUAACAAGUAAAAAGAUAGAUUUAUUUAUUUAUUUUAGACAGGGCCUCCCUCUGUCACCCAGGCUGGAGUGAGUGCAGUGUGCGAUCACAGCUCACUGCAGCCUCGACUUCCCAGGCUCAACUGAUCUCAGCCUCUGAAGGAGCUGGGAUUACAGGUGUGUGCCACCAUGCCCAGCUAAUUUUUUCAUCUUUUGUAUGUUGCCCAGGCUGAUCUCAAACUUCUGGGCUUAAGAGAUCCUCCUGCCUUGGCCUCCUGAAGUGCUGGGAUUAUAAGCAUGAGUCACCUCGCCCAGCCAUGUAAAAAGAUUUAAUAUGCCUGAGGCCCAAGGACUCUAAUACGUUCUCCAAUUUUACCUACUCUAGGGGACAUUUGCUGUGUUUUGCAGCCACACUGGGCAGCCUGUCUCUUUGGAGGAAAUGCCAAGAUCUGCGGGGGUCUGGCCCUGUUUCCCACUGUGUGCAGAUGAAUCUUCUAACCACCUGUCUUCUGGAAGUGGGGACAGGAAGUGGAGCCAGUUCUGCCAGGUCCUCCCAUUCAGAUGGUGGGCUCCUGAAGAAGUGACAUAGAGAACUCAUGGAGGUGACAGUGGAGACAGGCUCCCAGCGGAGGGCAGCAAGGACCAAUGAUGGUGCUGACUUCGUUCGUGCUGUUCCUGCUCCCUGCUCCGGUUACAGCCACAGGCUCCUCCACAUUCUUCUGUCUGCCUCCAGUUUCUUCUUCUCACUUUAAUCAGUCUUGUCCACCAUUGCCAGAUAAUUAAAAAACAAAACAAAACAAAAACUAAGCUUCCAUAUUAUCUACAAAAUAGUCAAGGUCUUUCUUCCAUGUUAUCUACAAAAUAUUCCAGGUUGUUCUUAGCCUUUUAGGAAUCAGAGGAGAAUUUCAACCCAUUAUGGGUUUAGGCCUCCAAGACUCUAACAGAAGAGGGACACGGUGGAAGAAUAAUGGGAAGUGGAAAUCUUACCCCUGGCAGGGUGUCCCGGUUCUGGAUGCAUGCCCAAGGAAACACAAACGAUAAUUUUUACAAAUCAAAGCCAUGCAAGUCCCAUGGAGACAUAUUAGAACAUGUUUUCUUAGAUUUGUAAGUCAUAGGACCAAAAUUGGUGGCUGAAUGGCACUGAGGGAGAGUCUGAUAGGUUACUAACUAAGGGGUGCUCUAUGUUGCCACAGACUAGGUGGAAAAGGAAGGGGUAGGGAAAGCCAGGGUGGUGAUCCUGAGAAAGAAGUUGGAUGAGAAGACUCUGCGCCUUCUAGCCAUGCUCAAAUGCUAGUGAUAAACACACACAGACAACAUACAGUGAAGUACACACACACAGAGUCUCACACACCUUGCACGGUGUGUGAGCACCUUGCAUGCUCUUGGGCAUCUACAGCACUCAUUUCACUGUCAGGUUUUGCCUUUUCUUUGGACGUCGCUCUUGGGCGUCUAGAGCACUCAUUUCACUGUCAGGUUUUGCCUUUUCUUUGGAUGUCACUCUUGGGCAUCUAGAGCACUCAUUUUACUGUCAGGUUUUGCCUUUUCUUUGGACGUCAUUUUUCCUUGUGUGCAUGUUGCCCAUUCCCCUAAGAAGUACAGGAGAGGUGGGCACGGUUGCUCACACCUGUAAUCCCAGCACUUUGGGAAGCCGAGGCAGGAGGAUCACUUGAGGCCAGGAGUUGGAGAACAGGCUGGGCAACAUGACGAGACCCUGUCUCUGCAAAAAAAAUCUUUAAAAAAUUAUCCAGGUGUGGUGGCAUGUGCCUGUGGUCCCAGCUACUAAGGAGGCUGAGGCGGGAGGAUCACUUGAGCCUGGGAAGUUGAAGAUGCAGUCAGCUGUGAUUGCAUCACUGUACUCUUGCCUGGGCAAUGGAGUGAAGCCCUGUCUCCAAAAACAACAAACAAACAAAAAAACCAAAAAACAAAAUAACAAAAGAGAAGUACAGCAGAUAUGGAGCAGAAGUGCGAAUGGUCUUCUAAAUAGUCAAUCUUUGGGGGCAUCCUCCCCUCCCUUCUCCCCUCCCCCCCUUUUUUUCUUAUACUUCUUCUUGCAGUCCAACAUCCUUAGCAGUGCAAAAUGAGUCAGAGUUUCCUCAGACCUUUGAGUGCUCAGCAUUAUAUAAUCAUCACUUCCAAGUAGCAUUCGGAGAUGUCUUUAAGCUGCAGCAGCUAUUGUUAGUUGUUUAAGACACUCCAUCACUGCCUUUGAUCGGAAACUUUCUCAUCACCAUUAUGUGCAUCGGUGCAGGCACCUUAAAUUUCACUGGGUCUUGGGAUUAGUCAUAUUAUAGAGAGACACAGAGAUGUGAGAAAUAAAUUGAAAAAAGGUCUGUAGCAACAGAUUUUACACCAUAAAAGAGUAAAUUAUUAGGUGUUAGGAAAAAUAUAAAUGUUGCAAACGGUGUGUUUUAUAUACUGUUGCCAAGAAUAAAAAUAUGCCAAAUAUGGGGGAAAAAGGUGUUGGUUAAUCUGACUUCUGGCUGGCCCCCACCCUGCAGCUCUUAGCACUGCUGGGCUGUUUUAUAGGGCAGUAACCCAGUCACCAAAGCAAAGAGAAUUCGAAUAAGGGACUUGGAAGAUAUGCCAACUUGGGGACUAAUUAUUGCCUUGUUAAACAGUGAGAUGGGGUUAUUGUACAUUUUUGUGUAUGGUAGUUAAAAUGUAUUUUAAAAAAGAAGUUUUUAGAAACCAAGAAUUCCCCAAAUUCAAGAAGUAACUGAUAAAGUAGUUUAUGGAAAUGUAAUCUCCCCAUAGAACCAGAUUGUGCAACAAAAAAGGAGAAGGAACGAUGUUAAAUGGGAAACAGAAUGGGGGUGACCCUUCCAGAUGGCUUUCUGGAAACUCCUUUCAAGCCAGCCACCCACCAGACGAUGCUACCAAAUGGCCCCUGUAUUCGUUUUUUAGGGCUGCCAUAACAAAGUGUCACAAGCUGGGUGGCUUACAACAAUAAAAAUCUACCAUUUUACAGUUCUGGAGGCCACAAGUGUGAAAUCAAGAUGUCAGCAGUGCCAUACUCUCUCUGAAGUCUGUUGGAGAGAACUCUUCUUUGUCUCUCCCAGUUUCUGGUGGUUUCCAGCAAUCCGUGGCUUCCUUGGCUUGUCGUCGCAUCAUUCCAGUCUCAGUCAUCAUGCGGCCUCCUCACUAUGUGUCUGUCUGUGUUUACAUUUUCCUCUUCUCAUAAGGGCAGCAGUAAAUGGAUUAGGCAUGCUAGUAUAUCUUCUUCGCUUGAUGGCAUCUGCAGACUCUGUUUCCAAAUAAGGCCUUGUUCAUGGGUACUGGGGUUAGGACUUCAACACCUCAUUUCUAGUCUCCUAUAUCACCAUGAAGAAAGCUAUGCUAGAAAGCUAUGUCUUUGUUACUUAUACAAAGUGGUAUUGAUAAUAGCUACUUACUCAAAACUACUCAGAAUAAGAUCAGUUUCUAGCAUGACAGUAUGAGGAGCCGCCUGACCCACUCCUCCAGGUAAACUGGUAAAAACAGCCAUUUAAGGCUUCUGGAAAUAGUCCCAAGGAAAAACAGCAAAGGAAGGAACCUGUAUUCAAGAAAAUGUACUAAUUUGGUAGAAGAGGUGAAUCUGUGGGAUUUGAAACAAGACCACUUCUUUCCUCCCCACUCCCAGCUCAGCACGGUGGCAAUUUCCCUCCAGACAGCUACUGCUGAAACACAGGUCUCCUCUCCUCCCAGCACAGAGGGCCUCCUUCCAGGGAGGAGUAGGAUGGCAGUGUCCUUCAUCCUGCCCCCAGCUCCCUGUUGCUGAGGCUGUCUCAGAUGAAUGCAGUUGAGAGGUGGGGGCUGCCACCCCUACCUGCUACUCAUGGAAGGAGACUCUACCUUGGGUGUGACAUGCUGAGAAGACUGUGGCCCUGGUCACUUUUGCCCUGGCUCUUGAGGUGGUGUUUCCAUGCCAGAAGGCUCAAGUUAAGAAGACCACUGGCUAUCCCCAACUCCUCCACCAAGCACCCAGCCCCUAGGCAGGGGGUGUCACUCAGAGAAAAGCUUACCAUUGUUUCUACCCCCAGCUCCAGAGCUCUGGUUCAGAUAUUUUGUUGCAAGGUAGGGGAGAAGAAGCAGUUCAGAGAAAAAAAGGUAAUUCUUAAUCUCUUCCCAAGGGAACUGACUUCAUUUUCAACAGAGCUUGGAGAAAAUUAAGCCUAAGUAUGCUCUGAAAACACAGUGGAGGUUGUGGUGAAGGGCAAUUGGGAGAGGCUAGUUUGCAGGAGAGAACCCAGAAUAAACCACUGGGAAGGAACCCUUCUGGGGGUCAGAACAAAUAUCAAACACUGACCUCAGAAACUAUUCUUUCAAAGGAGCCACAGUUUAAUGGGGUUAGUUUGUGGAACACUUUAUGCCCCAGGAUAUUGUUGAAAACAAUAGGGCAAUUGGCCACCAAUUAAUGGAGCUUAACAGCUGGAUGUGGUUAGGGAAGUGCCAGAGAGCCCUAGCAAAACCACUGUCAUCCCAGCACGACUGUGGGCAUAUGCAAAGCUGAACCUCUUUAGGGAGCAAUAUGAGAGGCUUAACGCUUUGGGAGGGAAAAUAUACAGUUGACCUUUGGACAACACAGGUUUGAACUGCGUGAAUCCACCUAUACAUGAAUUUUUUUCCACCACUGCCAACCUUGAGACAAGACUGACCCCUAUUCUUCUCCCUCCUCUGCAGCAUACUCUACAUGCAGAUGUUGUGGAUAAAGAUCUUUAUGAUGAUCUACUUCCACCUAAUGAAUAGUAAAUGUAUUUUCUCUUCCUUAGGAUUUUCUUAAUAAUAUGCUCUUUUCUGUAACUUAUUUUACUGAAAGAGUACAGUAUAUAAUACAUAUAACACACAAAAUAUAUGUUAAUUGACUAGCUGUGUUAUCAGUGAGGCUCCUUCUGGUCAACAGUAGGCUAUUAGUAAAGUUCUGGGGCAUCAAAAGUUAUACACAAUUAUUUUACUGCAUAGGCAGUCAAUGCCCAUAACCCCUACUUUGUUCAAGUGUCAACUUUACUUCAUGAAAAUAAACCAGGCAGUCACUAAAAACAAUCAAUAAGCAAAUAACAAUAACAAGUCCUGAAGGAGGGAAAGACCAAUAUCCAGAGUCAGUAGAAUAUAUUAUCUAAAAUGUCCAGUUUCUCACAAAAAAUUACAAGGCAUGCAAACAAACAAGAAAGUAUAAUAUGAUCCAUACACCUGAAAAAAAGCAGAGAAAGAAACUAACUUUAAGAAUGAUAAGACAUAGGCUGAGUGUGCCUGUAAUCUCAGCACUUUGAGGGGUUGAGGUGGGAGGAUUGCUUGAGCCCAGGAGAGUGAGGCUAGGCAUCUAUCACACCACUGUGCUCUAGCCUGGGUGACAAAGUGAGACCCUGUCAAAAAAAAGAAAAAAAAAAAACCCUCAAAAAACCUGUUAUAAGCAUGUUCACAGAGCUAAAAGAAGGGAUGAUGACCAUGUUCCAUCAAAUAGAGAAUGCCAACAGAGAGACAGAAUAAUCAAAUGGAAAUUCUGGAUUUGAAAAGUACAAUAAUUGAAAUGAAAUAUUCACUAAAGGGGCUCAAAAGUAGAUUUGAACUGGCAGAAGAAAGAAUAUGUGAAAUUGAAGAUAGAUCAAUAGAGACUAUGCAAGCUGAAGAACAGAAGAAGGAAUAAUGAAAAGUGAAGAGCACUUCAGAAAAUGUGAGACACCAUUAAGUGCACCAACAUACAUGUAAUGGAAGUAUCAGAAGGAAAGGAGAGAAAGGAGCAGAAAAAUCUUGAAGAUUAAGUGGGAAGAUCACUUGAGCUCAGGAGUUUGAGACCAGCCUGGGCAACCUAGUGAGACUUCACCUCUGUUAAAAAAAAUAGCUGGGUGUGGUGAUGUGCACCUGUAGUCCCAGCUAUUCAGAAGGCUGAGGUGGAAGAUUUUUUUAAGCUCGGGAUUUCUGCACUACAGUAAGCUAUGAUCGUGCCACUGCACUCCAGCCUGGGUGAAAGAGCGAGACCCUGUCUCAAUUUUUUUUUUUUCUGAAGAACUAGUGUCUGGAAGCUCCCCAAAUUUACUGAUAGAUAUUUGUCUGUAGUUUUCUUUUCUUGUAAUGUCUUUUUCUGCUUUUGGUACUAGGAUAAUGCUAGCGUCAUCGAAUGAGUUAGAAAGUAUUCCCUUUUCAUCUAUCUUCUGAAAGAGCUUAUAAGGGAAUUGGUAUAGUUUCUUCCUGAAGUGUUGGUGGAAUUCACCAAUGAACUCAUCUGGGCCUGGUACUUUCUGUUUUAGAAGGUUAUUAAUUAUUGAUUCAAUUUCUUUAAUAAAUAUAAGCCUAUUCAGAUUGUCUAUUUCUUCUUGUGUGAGUUUUUCUAGAUUGCAUCCUUCAAAAUAUUGGUCUAUUUCAUCUAAGUUAUCAGAUUUUUGGGCAUAGAACUGUUCAUAGUAUUCCCAAGUUUAUUGAAAAGCAAUAACCUACACAUCCAGAAAGCUCAACAAACUUCAAGUAAGAUAAAUAAAAGCAAAGAGAUACUAAACAGCCACAUCAUAGUACAAAUGCUGAAUUAAAGAUACAGAGAAAAUCUUGAAAGGAG